GUGCCAGCAGCCGCGGUAAUACGAAGGGUGCAAGCGUUACUCGGAAUUACUGGGCGUAAAGCGUGCGUAGGUGGUUCGUUAAGCCCGAUGUGAAAUCCCUGGGCUCAACCUGGGAAUGGCAUUGGAUACUGGCGGGCUAGAGUGCGGUAGAGGGUAGUGGAAUUCCCGGUGUAGCAGUGAAAUGCGUAGAGAUCGGGAGGAACAUCCGUGGCGAAGGCGACUACCUGGACCAGCACUGACACUGAGGCACGAAAGCGUGGGGAGCAAACAGGAUUAGAUACCCUGGUAGUCCACGCCCUAAACGAUGCGAACUGGAUGUUGGGCUCAACUUGGAGCUCAGUAUCGAAGCUAACGCGUUAAGUUCGCCGCCUGGGGAGUAAGUCCGCAAGGAUGAAACUCAAAUAAAUUGACGG
rnacentral:rRNA from 1 species